rnacentral:rRNA from 1 species
GAUGAACGCUAGCGGCAGGCUUAACACAUGCAAGUCGAGGGGUAUUGGUUUUUCGGACCAAGAGACCGGCGCACGGGUGCGUAACGCGUAUGCAAUCUACCUUUUGCAGAGGGAUAGCCCCAGAGAAAUUUGGAUUAAUACCUCAUAGUAUAGUACUUUGGCAUCAAGGAACUAUUAAAGUCACAACGGCAAAAGAUGAGCAUGCGUCCAUUAGCUAGUUGGUAAGGUAACGGCUUACCAAGGCUACGAUGGGUAGGGGUCCUGAGAGGGAGAUCCCCCANACUGGUACUGAGACAGGACCAGACUCCUACGGGAGGCAGCAGUGAGGAAUAUUGGACAAUGGGCGCAAGCCUGAUCCAGCCAUGCCGCGUGCAGGAUGACGGUCCUAUGGAUUGUAAACUGCUUUUGUACAGGAAGAAACACUACUUCGUGAAGUAGCUUGACGGUACUGUAAGAAUAAGGAUCGG